GGGGAUAGCUCAGUGGUAGAGCACAUGCCUAGCAUGCAUGAGGUCCUGGGUUCAAUCCCCAGCAUCUCCA
rnacentral:tRNA from 1 species